GAUGAAGAACGUAGCGAAAUGCGAUAAGUAAUGUGAAUUGCAGAGUUCAGUGAAUCAUCGAAUCUUUGAACGCACAUUGCGCCCGCCAGUAUUCUGGCGGGCAUGCCUGUCCGAGCGUCAUUUCAACCCUCAAGCACUGCUUGGUGUUGGUGGCCUACGGGCGCCCCGUACCGGGUGCGCCUGUAGCCGCCCAAAUACAUUGGCGGUCUCGCCGUGGCCCUCCUCUGCGCAGUAGUAAAACACUCGCAACAGGAGCCCGGCGCGGUCCACUGCCGUAAAACCCCCCAACUUUUUAUAGUUGACCUCGAAUCAGGUAGGACUACCCGCUGAACUUAAGCAUAUCAAUAAGCGGAGGA
rnacentral:misc_RNA from 1 species